rnacentral:tRNA from 4 species
GCCGGAGUGGUGAAAUUGGUAUACGCGCUGGACUCAAAAUCCCGUGGGCCUUGCGCCCGUGCGAGUUCGACUCUCGCCUCCGGCACCA